GCGUGAGUGCGCGUGCGUUGGGGCCUCAGCCUUUAUCUCCACUCUGCGGAGAUUCACGCCUGGAAAACGCUCUUCUGAGAGGAUCUGUGGAGGUCAACCCAGGAGAGAGAAGACAGGACUGAAGCACUGAAAGGGUCCUGCCGUUAAGGGCGCAGGAUUGUAUAGAAUAUAUAAUAGCAGUAGCAGCUCUGUUUACGGAGCAUUAACCUUACGUGGAGUUAUUUCCUGCAUUUCCUCCUUUCGUCUUUACAAGGUAGCCGUUUGGCGUCGUGAGGUAUGGAUGUUCCCAUCCCUAAUUUGCAAAAUAGGUAACUGAGGCUCAGGAGAGCUAGACUAGUUUGUGCACAGCCGAGAAGUGGUCAAGCUAGAAUGGGACCCCAGGUUUGUGCUCCCUACUCUCCACCGAUAACCUAUCAAAGGGCUUUGCAAGAGCUUUUGACUAAUCGUCUGUCAAUGGUUCUUCAUUCACGUAUUAAUUGCACAUCAGUAUGUGCCAAAUCUACUAGACAUUGGAGAAACAGUAGGAACAACACAUGGUACCGGCACAUGGAUCUUUCAGGAAAACGAAGUAGGUAAUAAACAGGAAAAAGCCCGAGUCUGAUGCUAAGAAGAACAUAAACAGGAUGCUGAGCGGAAAGUGACCAGAAGAGGUGUGCAGUUUCCAGGCCUGGCCCAUACAGACCUCCAACAGGUGCUCCCCUGUGCUGUUACUCCUUCUGCCAACUGGAAGCAGAUGGUGACCAGGCUCUGGAGAAGGCAAGGCCUGAAGAUGGGAGAUUCCUAAGUGGAGGAGAACUGUGCCUUACUGACCUAAAUAUCCACUCAGUAUUGUUAUGUGAGAAUAAAUAAACUUGUGUUGACCGUUUACUUACUUUGA
rnacentral:lncRNA from 10 species